GAGCUCCACCUGCCCGGGUUUGUUGUUCGGAGUUUGCUCUCCUAGGCAGAUUGCCUACCACGGCUGACGAGCUCCACCUGCCCGGGUUUGUUGUUCGGAGUUUGCUCUCCUAGGUGAAUUGCCUACCACGGCUAACGACCUCCACCUGCCCGGGUUUGUUUAGAGUUUGCUCUCCUAGGUGAAUUGCCUCCCACGGCUAACGACCUCCACCUGCCCGGGUUUAUUGUUCGGAGUUUGCUCUCCUAGGUGAAUUGCCUCCCACGGCUAACGACCUCCACCUGCCCGGGUUUAUUGUUCGGAGUUUGCUCUCCUAGGUGAAUUGCCUCCCACGGCUAACGACCUCCACCUGCCCGGGUUUAUUGUUCGGAGUUUGCUCUCCUAGGUGAAUUGCCUCCCACGGCUAACGACCUCCACCUGCCCGGGUUUAUUGUUCGGAGUUUGCUCUCCUAGGUGAAUUGCCUACCACGGCUAACGACCUCCACCUGCCCGGGUUUGUAUAGAGUUUGCUCUCCUAGGUGAAUUGCCUACCACGGCUAACGAGCCUCACCUGCCCGGGUUUGUAUAGAGUUUG